rnacentral:rRNA from 1 species
AUUGAACGCUGGCGGCAGGCCUAACACAUGCAAGUCGAGCGGAUGAAGGGAGCUUGCUCCUGGAUUCAGCGGCGGACGGGUGAGUAAUGCCUAGGAAUCUGCCUGGUCGUGGGGGCUAACGUCCGGAAACGGGCGCUAAUACCGCAUACGUCCUGAGGUAGAAAGUGGGGGAUCUUCGGACCUCACGCUAUUAGAUGAGCCUAGGUCGGAUUAGCUAGUUGGUGGGGUAAAGGCCUACCAAGGCGACGAUCCGUAACUGGUCUGAGAGGAUGAUCAGUCACACUGGAACUGAGACACGGUCCAGACUCCUACGGGAGGCAGCAGUGGGGAAUAUUGGACAAUGGGCGAAAGCCUGAUCCAGCCAUGCCGCGUGUGUGAAGAAGGUCUUCGGAUUGUAAAGCACUUUUAGUUGGGAGGAAGGGCAGUAAGUUAAUACCUUGCUGUUUUGACGUUACCAACAGAAUAAGCACCGGCUAACUUCGUG